ACUCAACACUAAUUCUUUAAAAAGGGUGAGUUUAAGUUGUAAAAUCGAGCUGCCAUUGAGCAGAUUUUUGAUCAGCUUGUUAGCCCUAAACUUGUUUUUAAGGAGUUU
rnacentral:sRNA from 1 species